UUACCAUUUGGACCAACCCCGUUGGUAGAUCAAGUGUAGUAUCUGUUCUUAUUAGUUUAAUAUAUGAUACGUGGGUCAUCGGCCCACAUGAUAUUAAAUUUAUUUUUUGAGGGGGAGGGUUCACUACAGUAGCUUGCUGCUGGGAUCCUCGCAUGUCGCCCAUGCGUUGCACUACUGCACGGGCCUGGCGCUUCCCAC